rnacentral:rRNA from 1 species
UGGGGAAUAUUGGUCAAUGGAGGCAACUCUGAACCAGCCAUGCCGCGUGCAGGAAGAAGGCCCUAUGGGUCGUAAACUGCUUUUGAACAAGAGAAAACCCCGGUACGUGUACUGGGUUGAUAGUAUUGUUAGAAUAAGCAUCGGCUAACUUCGUGCCAGCAGCCGCGGUAAGACGAAGGAUGCAAGCGUUAUCCGGAUUCAUUGGGUUUAAAGGGUGCGUAGGCGGACUGAUAAGUCAGUGGUGAAAUCUCUCGGCUUAACCGAGAAACUGCCAUUGAUACUGUUAGUCUAGAGUACAGAUGAUGUGGGCGGAAUAUGACAUGUAGUGGUGAAAUGCUUAGAUAUCGUCAAGAACACCGAUAGCGAAGGCAGCUUACUAGGCCAUAACUGACGCUGAGGCACGAAGGUGCGGGGAUCAAACAGGAUUAGAUACCCGCGUAGUCCCUGAGCGGGCUGGCAAGGCGCAU